UCAAUAAGCGGAGGAAAAGAAACUAACAAGGAUUCCCCUAGUAACGGCGAGUGAAGAGGGAUGAGCUCAAAUUUGUAAUCUGGCGUGUCGCAAGGCCGUCCGAGUUGUAGUCUAGAGAAGCGUCUUCCGUGCCGGACCGCGUACAAGUCCCCUGGAACGGGACAUCGUAGAGGGUGAGAAUCCCGUGUCGCGACGCGGACCGCCGGUGCCCUGUGAUGCGCUCUCGAAGAGUCGAGUUGUUUGGGAAUGCAGCUCAAAGUGGGUGGUAAACUCCAUCUAAAGCUAAAUACGGGCGAAAGACCGAUAGCGAACAAGUACCGUGAGGGAAAGAUGAAAAGCACUUUGGAAAGAGAGUUAAAUCAGUACGUGAAAUCGUUGAAAGGGAAACGCUUGGACUCAUGUCACGUCCACCGCGAAUUCAACUUUCGUCUCGCGACGGAGGUGCACUUUCCGGUGGACGGGUCAGCAUCGAUUUCGAAAGUCAGACGGAGUCCCAUGGGAACGUGGCACUCCCUCACGGGAGGUGUGUUAAUCAGCCCGGGGACUCGGUGACGGUUGGGAUCGAGGAACGCAGCGCGCCUUCAUUGGCCGGGGGUAAUAACCCACGUAACGCGCUUAGGAUGCUGGCGCAACGGCUUCAA
rnacentral:rRNA from 1 species